AACUUCAUGCAUCCCUUUAAGAGGUAGCACUUGAUGGAGAUGAUUUAUAAACAGUUUAUUUAAAAAAUGGAUUUACGUUUUUCUGCUGUGCUUGCUGUCUACAGACUUGCCUAAGAUCCUGUCACACACUGUUUUAGCUCUUUCACUCAAGCAAUAAGCAAUCCUCUCAGCUGGUUGCUUGCUUUUGAUUUUUCUGAUAGUUCAUAGGACUUGUGUAAUAGGAUAGUUUGUAGGACUUAAGAAAGUGUGAUCUCUUUAUACUGGCUUAAGCACAAUAGAAUAUGAUUCAUGUAAAGUCAGUAGGAGAACUGAAGCAAACGACAGAGGUGCUGCUAAAGCUGGUACAAGCAAAUGUAAAGCAGUAAGAAGGGAAAGCCAGUAUUUUUCCCAGGCAGGCUCAUGGUUUUUUUGGCAAGUAAAACUCAGCUUUAAUGAUAAAGCAUUAUGCAGUACAUUAGCAUUCUUUUAGCGUAUUUAGUAAAUGUUACCUCAGUAACUGGAGAUUUAAUCACUGUAGUCUGUGGUAAAUCCUUUUGGAGAUGUGAGGAAGUGCUUUGGGUGCAUUUAUGUUACAAACUUAAAUUUAGGAGCUGUGGUGUUGCAGGCUUCCUGGUGAUUGCUGUAGAGUGUUCCUUCAUUUGUUAAGGAAAUAAAAAUGUACAUCAGCAUUUUUAUGAGCGACUCAUUAGGGAUGAGCACGGCACCAAGAUGAUGAGCUGUCAUCUAUUGUUCCAGCUGACAAAUUAAGCCAUUCUUCUACUGAUACUUGCAAGCCUUAUCCAAGUAUCCCUGCAGGCAGAAUAGCAAUAGCACAACAUUCCACCCUCCUUAUCACAGCACUUCUCCCUCUUGUCUGUGAUGUUGAGAGAUUAACAAACUGUUAUUGUGGAUGGGGGUUAAAGAAAAAUGCCUUGUUCAGAAAAACUUGUAGGCCUAAUAGAAAUUAAGCUGUGUCAUGCUGACUGACACCAAAUCUACAUAGUAUUUGGAAAAUCUAAAAGCAGAAUAAAAUUAUUACAGGGGAAGUGCUUAUUCUGUAUCUGUGUGCCCAGCCAGUAUCUGAGAUAGCAGUUAACUUAUGAUCUAUGAUUAUAGUUAUGUUGGGGUCUGUGGAGUUUAAUGGGUUUCUGCUGUCUGAAGGAAGGAGCACUUUCAGUGAGAUACUCCUGGUUACGCAGGGUUGAAGAGGCCUGCUAAAAGCCCUGCUUACGAGCCUUACUAGUACUCCAGGUGAGUCUUACUAUUGCACCUCUUACUCAAGCGUUUUGUGCCCUCAGAGGGUGAUGCUAUUUGUAGAAUGAGUCAAGUUUUAAGAUUGCAAUGGAUUUCCCAUGUUCUGUUGUCUCUUUUUGACAGAAACUGAGAGGUGACUGAUCUUGAUCAAAACUUUGUACCUUGUGAUAUCUCCUCUGUGCAGACACUUCAUGUGAAGGUGACUGAGUACAAGUGGAUGACUAGGCAAUGGAUCUGGGAGCUUUUCCAUGUUUAUCCCUACAAUCUAAACUUCAGCAUUAUGAAAGAUGCGUCAUCUACAAAAGCUGUGUGGCAGCAUGGCUCAUGGGAGAAUAAAAGGAGAUGGCACUCUUAGUCUGCUGUAUGUGGUAGAGAGCAAAGUCUUCGAUGCCCUUCCUUGCCAGACAUUUUAUCUUUCAUUUGGCUGCUGGCUCUCCUCAUCAUUGCAGGGUUUGUAAUACAGCCGUCAUGGUCUGCUGCUGUGAUAGAUGGCAGCAGUAGAUCUUUGUGCCUCUGUACUUAGAUAACCACUCGAAAAUGUGGAUAGAGAAGGGGCAAGAGGUGUCUUGUGCCUGCCCUGUGUAUGUGUGCAGCAGGAAUCCUGACCUUGCUGUGACUGGCUGGAUGAGCAGGACCAGGAAAAAGGAACUUGAAGUCGUGGUGCUGCAACUAGAGCUGAGGGGUAUUGCACAAUGUAUAGGGGAAAGGUGUGAAGAACACUGGUGGUGUGGUCCCUGCAGUUUCCACUCCUGAAUGAAGUCCUAAUUGUAGUGUCUGUACUUUUUAAGGCCUUGCCUUCAGUGAUCACAGCAAUGGUAGGUGUAAAGGAAGCACCGAAUGCGCAUGCAAGAUAAAUUGUGGUCUCUGUGUGCGUGUGCAGGGCAUUUUACAAACUUAAGAUUAAAUAAAAACAGGGGUUGGUCAGUUCUGUUUUCCUGGAUAUGUAUUUAUUGUUUAAAAGUUAAAUUUCCUGUGAAUGUCCUUCUUUUGAUCAAAGGGAACAAAUUGGGUAGAAAUUGGUGGACUGCAACCAAUAAUGAAACCUUUGCAGUUGAGAAACACCUUGUGGAUCAAAAUCCAGCAGCUAACCUGUUUUUAGAAACUUGAAGAAUUCAGAGAUAUUAACUGGUGUUGAAACAGCUAAAGAGUAUGUUUUCCCAUAAUGGGCAGCCCUGGAUCUCAUUUGCUCUUUGCUGGACUAUUUUGUCAGACCUGAAACGGGCUGGUGGUUCUCUGGUUGUUGGCCUGUCUUAAUACGUAGAGGUAUUAUAUUUCCCCCUCCAUUAUUCUGCCAAAGAUUCUUGCUUCAGUAAACUGGUAUCUUAUUUUCUGUCUUCCUCUAAGUCUCUCAAAGUGGUGCUAUAUCCACAGCAAAUAGUUGGAUUAGCUAUGACUCCUGGGCCAUCCAGCAUGGAUCGAGCAUGUUUGAAGGCCUGGGACUGGUGAAGAGCUUUGGCUGGAACAGGUCACUGAGAUCAUGUAGUUCUUACCCAGGGUUGAUGUUAAAUCCCUUGGUGUUGAUGUCUGAUGGGGUUGCAAAUCUACAGAAGCACUUGACUUUAAUGCCAUUUAACUUUUCUUUGAGUUCUGCAGAACAGGUCAGACUUUCCAUCUGACACUGAAAAUUUAAUCAUUGUGCAAAAGAAAUAUGCUGUGUUAGUGUAUCUCACUAGGGGUGAGUGGAUGGUAGCUGCUUUUCUACUUAAAAUAGCCUCUGCACACAGCUGUGCACCAAGGAAGCUGCAGCAUCACUUUGGGAAGUACAUGUGACAUUUUGUCUUUGCAAGAAUGAUGUAUCAUAAAUGAAACUGGAGCUGGACUUCUCCACAUUGUUUGGGUACCUGCUAAUAACUCCCAUAAUUGCUAAUGUUUCUCAGGGUUUAAAACGGCUAUGGAACCUAUCAGAAGCUGUAAAAGCAAAGGGAUUCUGCCUUACUGGAAGGUAAGAUCUGAUUCUCUCCAACUCUGCAGCGGCUCUGAUCCAUUUCAACUUACUGGCUCCAGCCCAAGAAGCAGUUUGUUCUUUUCUGCAUGACACAGUAUUGUCAGGCUGUCCAGAACAUGAAGGUGUAACUUUUCACUUAAAAAAAAAAACCAAAAAAAAAAAAAAAAA
ensembl:lncRNA